AAUGAACGCUGGCGGCAGGCCUAACACAUGCAAGUCGAACGCUCCGCAAGGGGAGUGGCGCACGGGUGAGUAACGCGUGGGAAUAUGCCCUUCGGUUCGGAAUAACACAGGGAAACUUGUGCUAAUACCGGAUACGAUCUACGGAUGAAAGAUUCAUCGCCGAAGGAGUAGCCCGCGUAGGAUUAGCUAGUUGGUGAGGUAAUGGCUCACCAAGGCGACGAUCCUCAGCUGGUCUGAGAGGAUGAUCAGCCACACUGGGACUGAGACACGGCCCAGACUCCUACGGGAGGCAGCAGUGGGGAAUAUUGGACAAUGGGCGAAAGCCUGAUCCAGCCAUGCCGCGUGAGUGAUGAAGGCCUUAGGGUUGUAAAGCUCUUUCGCCGGGGAAGAUAAUGACGGUACCCGGAAAGGAAGCCUCGGCUAACUCCGUGCCAGCCGCCGCUGUAA
rnacentral:rRNA from 1 species